GACGUAGGGCGCAAGCGUUGUCCGGAUUUAUUGGGCGUAAAGAGCUCGUAGGCGGCUUGUUGCGUCGUCCGUGAAAACCCGCAGCUCAACUGCGGGCUUGCGGACGAUACGGGCAGGCUGGAGUACGGAAGAGGCGAGUGGAAUUCCUGGUGUAGCGGUGGAAUGCGCAGAUAUCAGGAGGAACACCAAUAGCGAAGGCAGCUCGCUGGGACGUUACUGACACUAAGGCGCGAAAGCGUGGGGAGCGAACAGG
rnacentral:rRNA from 1 species